AAUGUUAAAGUUCUUAUUUCAUGGUAUAACUUUGGUAUGCUUGGACCUAGAGUCUUCAAACUUGACAUGAAGGUUGGCCAGGAUUAGCAGAUGACCACUGGUCAUUUCAAGGUCAUUCAUUUGAAGGUCAAGGUCACUGUGACCUUGAAUGUAAAAAUGUUAAAGUUCUUAUUUCAUGGUAUAACUUUGGUAUGCUUGGACCUAGAGUCUUCAAACUUGACAUGAAGGUUGGCCAGGAUUAACAGAUGACCACUGGUCAUUUCAAGGUCAUUCAUUUGAAGGUGAAGGUCACUGUGACCUUCAAUAUAAAAAUGUUAAAGUUGUUAUAACUUUGGUAUGCUUGGACCUAGAGUCUUGAAACUUGACAUGAAGGUUGGCCAGAACUAGUAAGUAACCACUGGACAUUUCAAGGUCAUUCAUUUGAAGGUCAAGGUCACUGUGACCUUGAAUGUAAAAAUGUUAAAGUUGUUAUAACUUUGGUAUGCUUGGACCUAGAGUCUUGAAACUUGACAUGAAGGUUGGCCAGAACUAGUAAGUAACCACUGGACAUUUCAAGGUCAUUCAUUUGAAGGUCAAGGUCACUGUGACCUUGAAUGUAAAAAUGUUAAAGUUCUUAUUUCAUGUUAUAACUUUGGUAUGCUUGUACCUAGAGUCUUCAAACUUGAAAUAAAGAUUGGCCAGUACUAGAAGAUGACCACUGGUCAUUUCAAUGUCAUUCAUUUGAAGGUCAAGGUCAAUUUGAUAAUGAAAUUGAUGGAAACUUCAAACAAUAUGUUACUAAUUUGCUAAUAAAAAAAUUGAGAUCAAACUUUCCUAAUUGUCAAUUCAAGUUCAUAUUUGUGACCUUAAAUGUUAUUGUUGUUCAUGUAUAUGCAUGCAUUCAAAACAUAACACAAGGUUUGCUCAUGCCUUGAAAAGUACUUACAUUUCAUUUUGACCUUUGAACAAUAUUUCAGUAAUUUAAGUAUUGCAUUGACAAAAACACGAAAGGUACUUUCCUGUCAUUUAAAUCAAAAAUCCGGCUUCAAUGCGGUCAUCUCCGACCGCGGAACUCUUGUAUGGAAGAUAAAAUGUAGGCGAUAACCAUCACAAAGGGUGUAUAAUGUUGUAUGCUUAUAUGGAAGAUAAAAUGUAGGCGAUAACCAUCACAAAGGGUGUAUAAUGUUGUAUGCUUUUAGGGAAGAUAAUCCAUAGACAAUUUUUUUUUACAUUUUUACCAUUCAUGAGUAUUAUUUUGCUUGUUCGAAUGUAAUGUAUACAUUCUGCUUUGAAUAAAUGUAUAUGACAACUU